rnacentral:lncRNA from 1 species
AGGAAAGAGAGAGGGCAUUGGAGUUGGGGUUUGGGUGGAUGAAGAGGAGUUUGCCUGGGAACGGUGUUCUAGCCACAGGGAAGAGUCUGUGCAGUGACAUAACAGGCAGCAGUCAAAGAUGCUGGGGACAGCCAAUGUGGCUGUGAAUAGAAUGGGGCGGGGGGCGGGGGGAAGUGACCCUGGGAGCCCCCAGGAACAGAGCCACAGGUCAGGAAGAUCUGGCACUUCCUCGGGUGUGAACCUUUGGCCAGGGAGUAGGGCAGAUCAGGGGUCAGCUCUAGACUCCUGUCUUCCCUGAAUAGGCAGCGGGCAUCUGCGGUCUGUGAGGAGGGUAUGAGGAGGUCGCGGCUUGGGAUUGGCUGAGGAGUGCCAGAGUCCUUUUCCAAGCACAAGCUGUUCCUUGUGUGGGCAAAACAAAAAGCAGGGCUCGCAGGAGCCCCAACCUGAGCAUUUGCCAGGUUGGCCCAGCUGCGUGUGGACACUGGCAGUGACCCCUGUGCAAGGGCUGCACACACGGAGACAAGAUUGUCCGCCGUCCUGAGGGGAGCAGCUUCAGUUUGGCCGUGUCCCUUUCCCAGGCUUUCAUCUUGACCACAUCAAAUGGGGACAGUUCCAGCCUGAAGUCAUUUUGCCCCUGAUAUCGUUGGAGUGCCACUUUUUAUCAUAUUACCAGGGUGCUACAUUCUUGUGGUAAACUUCUAAUCACCCUUCAAAACCCCUAAACUGAAGCCAGCCCCCUCUAUGCCUCUCCAGCCUGGUUCUGACCGUCCUGGGCUGAGGGUGUUUAUAGCUUGUGUGGGUCACUGUUCCUGUCAUCCUGGCCAAGGCUGAGGCCUCUCAGGGGACCCGCACCACAGAAAAAGAAAGAUAGGAUUAUAGUUCUCAAAUAUGACCACAUGCUGGGUCCUGAAGACUAGCCCCACCAGCCUCCACUUAAUUAGCUUCUUUUAUUUGUUGAGGCAGGGGGCUUGCCUGGAGUUGAGCAGAUGGUUAUUCUCCUGCCUCAGCCUGUAGAUUGCCAAGCUCACGGCUCUGCCUGGGACACCACAAAGUGCUUGCCUUCAGCUCUCCCACCAUCAUGCCUGCAGGAUGGCCCACAGGAGCCCCAUCCCAGCUGGAACUGGCAGUUACCCCUAUGGGGAUAAUGUUUACUAAGUAUCGAGUGAUAUCAACAAGUGACCAGACUGGUCACAGGAGCGACGCUGUGGAAGGGCCUCAUGGCCUGCGCUGAUGGUGAAACCCAGCCUGCUGUUGGCGCGGCCCUACUAGGUUGACUGCCAGACACCAAGUCCAGGUGGCCGAGGACAAGCAGGAAGGACUGUAUGGUGCCCUGCCUUCCAGCUGGCUGGGCCACCCUGCCACACUUCCUCAGCCUUGAUGGACCUAGCUUUCUCACUGAAAUGUAAAAGAUGCCUCAAUAAAAAUGAAAAGAUAGGGCUGGUGAGAUGGCUCAGUGGGUAAGAGCACCUGACUGCUCUUCCGAAGGUCCAGAGUUCAAAUC